CUGCUCAGUAACACGUGGAUAACCUGCCCUUAGGAUUGGCAUAACACCGGGAAACUGGUGAUAAUACCGAAUAGACCAUUUAUGCUGGAAUGCUUAAUGGUUCAAAGGCUUUUAGCUGCCUAAGGAUGGAUCUGCGGCCUAUCAGGUAGUAGUGGGUGUAAUGUACCUACUAGCCUACGACGGGUACGGGUUGUGAGAGCAAGAGCCCGGAGAUGGAUUCUGAGACAUGAAUCCAGGCCCUACGGGGCGCAGCAGGCGCGAAAACUUUACAAUGCGGGAAACCGCGAUAAGGGGACACUGAGUGCCAGCAUAUUAUGUUGGCUGUCCACAUGUAUAAAUACCAUGUGUUAGCAAGGGCCGGGCAAGACCGGUGCCAGCCGCCGCGGUAACACCGGCGGCCCGAGUGGUGAUCACUUUUAUUGGGUCUAAAGGGUCCGUAGCCGGUUUGAUCAGUCCUCCGGGAAGUCUGACAGCUCAACUGUUAGGCUUCCGGGGGAUACUGUCAGACUUGGGACCGGGAGAGGUAAGAGGUACUACAGGGGUAGGAGUGAAAUCUUGUAAUCCCUGUGGGACCACCAGGGCGAAGGCGUCUUACCAGAACGGGUCCGACGGUGAGGGACGAAAGCUGGGGGCACGAACCGGGUUAGAUACCCGGGUAGUCCCAGCCGUAAACGAUGCUCGCUAGGUGUCAGGGACGGUGCGACCGUUUCUGGUGCCGCAGGGAAGCCGUGAAGCGAGCCACCUGGGAAGUACGGCCGCAAGGCUGAAACUUAAAGGAAUUGGCGGGGGGGCACUACAACGGGUGGAGCCUGCGGUUUAAUUGGACUCAACGCCGGAAAACUCACCGGGGGCGACAGCAAUAUGUAGGUCAGGCUAAAGACCUUACCCGAAUCGCUGAGAGGAGGUGCAUGGCCGUCGUCAGUUCGUACUGUGAAGCAUCCUGUUAAGUCAGGCAACGAGCGAGACCCGUGCCCACUGUUGCCAGCAUGUCCUUCGGGAUGAUGGGUACUCUGUGGGGACCGCCGCUGUUAAAGCGGAGGAAGGUGCGGGCUACGGUAGGUCAGUAUGCCCCGAAUCUCCCGGGCUACACGCGGGCUACAAUGAUUGGGACAAUGGGUCCCUACUCCGAAAGGAGAUGGCAAUCUCAUAAACCCACCUUAGUUCGA
rnacentral:rRNA from 1 species